AAAUCAGUCUAACGAUCCGCAAGCGAUAAAAUAACAAAAGCGCACUGAGUUUAAGGAAAGGAAGAAAAUGUAGGUUAAUUGGAAGAAACUGCUUUUACGGUAGAACAGGGAACGCGUCUCGAAAUUGAUGGAAGACGGAAUUCCAUAAUGCCGAUUUAAACUGACUAAACGAGAAUAAAGAAAAUAGAGCCAAAUAUUUUUGAUUAUAUUUAUGAAAAGCAAUCUAUAUUAUAUGCAGACCGAAAGAAGAAUUCACCACAUUCGAGUACGAGAGAAAACCUGUGGAAUAUUGGAAUAGCGUGGAAUGGAAGGAAUUGCAAGUUGGAAAAAGCGAGCGUAAGCACAAGCCACUGUGUCGAUUUAAAUUGGUACGAUAGUGUGCAUAUUUUCAGCGCACGCGACUGCCUAAUAAGCUUUAUUUGCUUCCGUCGGCAUAGCACUAUAUUUAAGAGAGAAUAGCGUGGUUCGUGGUGGCGGCGAGGCGCCAGGUAACGUAAAUAUCAGCCAGCAUUAUUAAUAACCCAAGGUAAUUUUACGUAAUUGAAAAUGCCUAAGAAGGGUCGUGCCGGUAUUUUCCUCCGUGGGUAUUCUCUCGCUCCUGAACUUAAUGGCGGUCUUCUUUCCGUUCCUUGGUACUCAUAGCCUGCGAAAGUUUGCCAACAGGGCACGAUGAAAUCCCCCUUGGGCCUCUGAUUUUUCAUUUUCACGACGUUAAACGUAUGUAUUUCGCCAAAAGCUACAAUUUAUUUGCCCCUUGUUUCGAUGUUUGAUAAUACAUGUGGCAAGUAAAUAAGCAAGUAUCGUGUAAAGUCGUGCAUUAGUCGUCGAUAUACGAAAUCUUAUUUCUAUUACUAUCCUCGAUAUAAUACUGCCGUGUACAAUAAAAGACGCUUUACAUUGCCAAUAAAAGAUGCCAGCUUUUAAUUCGUCCAAGAAUUAUCGACUUAAUCGUUAUUCUGCGUGCCGUAAAGUAUGACGCAGCCAUUUUCAAAUAGUUCCGAAUAGUUCUUACGUUCGUAUAUAUUAUAAUUUUAAUUUAAUCGUACGUAUAACGACGUUAUACGUAUACUAAAUACAUAUCACUUUGAUUGUUUAUUGAAAGCAUCUCUGUGAAUAAAAACUCAAUUAUGA
rnacentral:misc_RNA from 1 species